UGCAGUCGAGCGAACUGAUUAGAAGCUUGCUUCUAUGACGUUAGCGGCGGACGGGUGAGUAACACGUGGGCAACCUGCCUGUAAGACUGGGAUAACUUCGGGAAACCGAAGCUAAUACCGGAUAGGAUCUUCUCCUUCAUGGGAGAUGAUUGAAAGAUGGUUUCGGCUAUCACUUACAGAUGGGCCCGCGGUGCAUUAGCUAGUUGGUGAGGUAACGGCUCACCAAGGCAACGAUGCAUAGCCGACCUGAGAGGGUGAUCGGCCACACUGGGACUGAGACACGGCCCAGACUCCUACGGGAGGCAGCAGUAGGGAAUCUUCCGCAAUGGACGAAAGUCUGACGGAGCAACGCCGCGUGAGUGAUGAAGGCUUUCGGGUCGUAAAACUCUGUUGUUAGGGAAGAACAAGUACAAGAGUAACUGCUUGUACCUUGACGGUACCUAACCAGAAAGCCACGGCUAACUACGUGCCAGCAGCCGCGGUAAUACGUAGGUGGCAAGCGUUAUCCGGAAUUAUUGGGCGUAAAGCGCGCGCAGGCGGUUUCUUAAGUCUGAUGUGAAAGCCCACGGCUCAACCGUGGAGGGUCAUUGGAAACUGGGGAACUUGAGUGCAGAAGAGAAAAGCGGAAUUCCACGUGUAGCGGUGAAAUGCGUAGAGAUGUGGAGGAACACCAGUGGCGAAGGCGGCUUUUUUGGUCUGUAACUGACGCUGAGGCGC
rnacentral:rRNA from 2 species